GAUGAACGCUGGCGGCGUGCUUAACACAUGCAAGUCGAACGGAAAGGCGAGGAUCUUGCUCCCCUGACGUUAGGGGCGGGCGGGUGAGUCACACGUGGAUACCCUACCUAUAAGACUGGGAUCACUUCGGGAGACCGGAUAUAACACCGGAUAAUAUCUUGAACCGCGUGGUUCGAUAGUGAAAGACGGUUUUGAUGGCACUACUUGAUGGUUCCAAGCCGUAUGAGCUAGUUGGUAGGGUAACGGCUUACCAAGGCGACGAUGCGUAGCCGACCUGAGAGGGUGAUCGGCCACACUGGAACUGAGACACGGCCCAGACUCCUACGGGAGGCAGCAGUAGGGAAUCUUCGGCAAUGGGGGAAAGCCUGACACAGCAAUGCCGCGUGAGUGAUGAAGGCCUUCGGAUCGUAAAACUCUGUUAUUAGGGAAGAACAACUGUGUGAGUAACCAUGGGGGGCUUGACGGUACCGGAUCAGAAAGCAACGGCUAACUACGUG
rnacentral:rRNA from 1 species